UGCCAGAAUGGUUGAGUGCUGGUGAGGG
rnacentral:piRNA from 1 species